rnacentral:rRNA from 1 species
CGAACGCGAACGGGGGCAACCCCUAGUAGCGUGGCGAAAGGGCGAGUAAUACGUGGGUAAUCUGCCCCCAGGAUGGGGAUAACACCGGGAAACUGGUGAUAAUACCGAAUGUUGUAUCGGAGGCGCAUGCCUCUGUUACCAAAGGCGGGGAUCCGCAAGGACCUGUCACCUGGGGAUGAGCUCACGGCCUAUCAGCUAGUUGGUAGGGUAAAGGCCUACCAAGGCAAUGACGGGUAGCCGGCCUGAGAGGGUCGUCGGCCGCACUGGGACUGAGACACUGCCCAGACUCCUACGGGAGGCAGCAGAGGAGAAUCAUUCGCAAUGGGCGCAAGCCUGACGGUGCGACGCCGCGUGUGGGAUGAAGGCCUUCGGGUUGUAAACCACUGUCAGGAGUAGGGAACGCUGGGGAAGCUAACAUCUUUUCCAGGUGACUAAGGCUCCAAAGGAAGCCACGGCUAACUACGUGCCAGCAGCCGCGGUAAUACGUAGGUGGCGAGCGUUACUCGGAAUCACUGGGCAUAAAGGGCGUGUAGGCGGAUGCGCAAGUCCGGUGUGAAAGCCCCCGGCUCAACCGGGGAAGGCCAUUGGAUACUGCGUGUCUAGAGUGCGGAAGGGGAGAAUGGAACUCUUGGUGGAGCGGUGAAAUGCGUAGAUAUCAAGAGGAACGCCGGUGGCGAAAGCGGUUCUCUGGUCCGUUACUGACACUGAGGCACGAAAGCUGGGGGAGCAAACAGGUUUAGAUACCCUGGUAGUCCCAGCUGUAAACGGUGUGCACUUGGUGUGGGGGGGGUAUUGACCCCC